UACAGGGGGGGCAAGCGUUGUUCGGAAUUACUGGGCGUAAAGGGCUCGUAGGUGGCCAACUAAGUCAUACGUGAAAUCCCUCGGCUUAACCGGGGAACUGCGUCUGAUACUGGAUGGCUUGAGAUUGGGAGAGGGAUGCGGAAUUCCAGGUGUAGCGGUGAAAUGCGUAGAUAUCUGGAGGAACACCGGUGGCGAAGGCGGCAUCCUGGACCAACACUGACACUGAGGAGCGAAAGCCAGGGGAGCAAACGGG
rnacentral:rRNA from 1 species